AGAGUGCCAUUUGUAUGACUCUGUAGCUUCAGAGAUUUGAAGAACUUGAACUGUAUCGGCAUCAAGGAUGACUUUGUAUAAGCGAUUCGGAGAGCGUGUGGUUUUUACCAGUAGGUUCCCCGUACGAUCAUGAAGGUGUAGCUCCUUGUCCUUCAUUCUCACUUCACAUCCAGCCUCUGUAGCUUGUCCUAAGCUAAUUAUAUUGCUUCGUAGUCCAGGUAUAUAAUAAACAUCUUUUAGUAUUUUCUUCUCACCACCAUCAAA
rnacentral:lncRNA from 1 species